rnacentral:tRNA from 1 species
GGGGGUAUAACUCAGUAGGUAGAGUGCUGGCUUUGCAAGUCAGUUGUCAAGGGUUCGAUUCCCUUUCCUCCACCA